rnacentral:rRNA from 1 species
ACGCUUCGACACCUACGGGAGGCAGCAGUGGGGAAUACUGCACAAUGGGGGAAACCCUGAUGCAGCGACGCCGCGUGAGCGAAGAAGUAUUUCGGUAUGUAAAGCUCUAUCAGCAGGGAAGAAACUGACGGUACCUGACUAAGAAGCACCGGCUAAAUACGUGCUAGCAGCCGCGGUAAUCUGAGCGGGCUGGCAAGGC